ACGGGUGAGUAACGCGUGGGAACAUACCCUUAUCUUCGGAACAACUCCGGGAAACUGGAGCUAAUACCGAAUGUGCCCUUCGGGGGAAAGAUUUAUCGGAUAAGGAUUGGCCCGCGUUGGAUUAGCUAGUUGGUGGGGUAAAGGCCUACCAAGGCGACGAUCCAUAGCUGGUCUGAGAGGAUGAUCAGCCACAUUGGGACUGAGACACGGCCCAAACUCCUACGGGAGGCAGCAGUGGGGAAUAUUGGACAAUGGGCGCAAGCCUGAUCCAGCCAUGCCGCGUGAGUGAUGAAGGCCUUAGGGUUGUAAAGCUCUUUCACCGGAGAAGAUAAUGACGGUAUCCGGAGAAGAAGCCCCGGCUAACUUCGUGCCAGCAGCCGCGGUAAUACGAAGGGGGCUAGCGUUGUUCGGAAUUACUGGGCGUAAAGCGCACGUAGGCGGACAUUUAAGUCAGGGGUGAAAUCCCGGGGCUCAACCUCGGAACUGCCUUUGAUACUGGGUGUCUUGAGUGUGGAAGAGGUCAGUGGAAUUGCGAGUGUAGAGGUGAAAUUCGUAGA
rnacentral:rRNA from 1 species